UGGGGAAUUUUGGACAAUGGGGGCAACCCUGAUCCAGCAAUGCCGCGUGUGUGAAGAAGGCCUUCGGGUUGUAAAGCACUUUUGUCCGGGAAGAAAUCCCCUGCCCUAAUACGGCGGGGGGAUGACGGUACCGGAAGAAUAAGCACCGGCUAACUACGUGCCAGCAGCCGCGGUAAUACGUAGGGUGCGAGCGUUAAUCGGAAUUACUGGGCGUAAAGCGUGCGCAGGCGGUGAUGUAAGACCGAUGUGAAAUCCCCGGGCUCAACCUGGGAACUGCAUUGGUGACUGCAUUGCUCGAGUAUGGCAGAGGGGGGUGGAAUUCCACGUGUAGCAGUGAAAUGCGUAGAGAUGUGGAGGAACACCGAUGGCGAAGGCAGCCCCCUGGGCCAAUACUGACGCUCAUGCACGAAAGCGUGGGGAGCAAACAGGAUUAGAUACCCUGGUAGUCCACGCCCUAAACGAUGUCAACUGGUUGUCGGGCCUUCAAUUGGCUUGGUAACGUAGCUAACGCGUGAAGUUGACCG
rnacentral:rRNA from 1 species